rnacentral:rRNA from 1 species
CGGCGGACGGGUGAGUAACACGUGGAUAACCUACCUAUAAGACUGGGAUAACUUCGGGAAACCGGAGCUAAUACCGGAUAAUAUUUUGAACCGCAUGGUUCAAAAGUGAAAGACGGUCUUGCUGUCACUUAUAGAUGGAUCCGCGCUGCAUUAGCUAGUUGGUAAGGUAACGGCUUACCAAGGCAACGAUGCAUAGCCGACCUGAGAGGGUGAUCGGCCACACUGGAACUGAGACACGGUCCAGACUCCUACGGGAGGCAGCAGUAGGGAAUCUUCCGCAAUGGGCGAAAGCCUGACGGAGCAACGCCGCGUGAGUGAUGAAGGUCUUCGGAUCGUAAAACUCUGUUAUUAGGGAAGAACAUAUGUGUAAGUAACUGUGCACAUCUUGACGGUACCUAAUCAGAAAGCCACGGCUAACUACGUGCCAGCAGCCGCGGUAAUACGUAGGUGGCAAGCGUUAUCCGGAAUUAUUGGGCGUAAAGCGCGCGUAGGCGGUUUUUUAAGUCUGAUGUGAAAGCCCACGGCUCAACCGUGGAGGGUCAUUGGAAACUGGAAAACUUGAGUGCAGAAGAGGAAAGUGGAAUUCCAUGUGUAGCGGUGAAAUGCGCAGAGAUAUGGAGGAACACCAGUGGCGAAGGCGACUUUCUGGUCUGUAACUGACGCUGAUGUGCGAAAGCGUGGGGAUCAAACAGGAUUAGAUACCCUGGUAGUCCACGCCGUAAACGAUGAGUGCUAAGUGUUAGGGGGUUUCCGCCCCUUAGUGCUGCAGCUAACGCAUUAAGCACUCCGCCUGGGGAGUACGACCGCAAGGUUGAAACUCAAAGGAAUUGACGGGGACCCGCACAAGCGGUGGAGCAUGUGGUUUAAUUCGAAGCAACGCGAAGAACCUUACCAAAUCUUGACAUCCUUUGACAACUCUAGAGAUAGAGCCUUCCCCUUCGGGGGACAAAGUGACAGGUGGUGCAUGGUUGUCGUCAGCUCGUGUCGUGAGAUGUUGGGUUAAGUCCCGCAACGAGCGCAACCCUUAAGCUUAGUUGCCAUCAUUAAGUUGGGCACUCUAAGUUGACUGCCGGUGACAAACCGGAGGAAGGUGGGGAUGACGUCAAAUCAUCAUGCCCCUUAUGAUUUGGGCUACACACGUGC